rnacentral:rRNA from 1 species
UACAGAGGGUGCUAGCGUUGUUCGGAAUCAUUGGGCGUAAAGGGCGUGUAGGCGGUUUGUUAAGUCAUGUGUGAAAUCCCUCGGCUCAACCGGGGAACGACGCAUGAAACUGGCAAGCUAGAGUACCAAAGAGGGGGGUGGAAUUCCCGGUGUAGCGGUGAAAUGCGUAGAUAUCGAGAGGAACACCAGUGGCGAAGGCGAGUCCCUGGACAACUCCUGACACUAAGGCACGAAAGCUAGGGGAGCAAACAGG